rnacentral:rRNA from 1 species
UUUUGACAUUUGAAAAAUGGGACUGCUCAGUAAUACUCACUUUAUUUUAUGUAAAUUUUUAAUUAACUACGUUUAAAGUGUAGAUAAGAUGUUUACAGUAAGAGUGAGACCUAUCAGCUAGUUGUUAAGGUAAUGGCUUAACAAGGCUGUGACGGGUAACGGUAUUACUUUGUAAUAUUCCGGAGAAGGAGCCUGAGAGACGGCUACUAAGUCUAAGGAUUGCAGCAGGGGCGAAACUUGACCUAUGGAUUUUAUCUGAGGCAGUUAUGGGAAGUAAUAUUAUAUUGUUUCAUAUUUUAAAAGUAUAUGAGGUGAUUAAUUGGAGGGCAAAUCAAGUGCCAAGCAGCCGCGGUAAUACUUGUUCCAAGAAGUGUGUAUGAUGAUUGAUGCAGUUAAAAAGUCC